GCUUGUUUAGCUCAAUUGGUAUAGUGCAAGGCUCUUAACCUUAAGGUCGUGGGUUCGAGCCCCACCUUGAGCG
rfam:Zea mays cultivar B73 chromosome 10, whole genome shotgun sequence.